GGCUAUAAGUGAAAAUUUGAUCAAAGUUGUACCUGAAAAGGCAGUAAAAUUCAAAGUGAGAGCCGUAGUUACAGUGAGGAACAAGAACAACGAAGAUCUGAAGGAAACAAUUGUUAAGCAUUUGGAUGCUUUCACUGAUAAAUUUGGAAGGAAUGUUUCCUUAGAGCUCAUUAGCACUGACAUCGACCCAAAUACAAAAGGGCCGAAGAAAAGCAACCAGGCAGUGUUGAAGGAUUGGUCUAAGAAAUCGAACUU